UCAAUAAGCGGAGGAAAAGAAACUAACGAGGAUUCCCUUAGUAACUGCGAGUGAAGCGGGAAGAGCUCAAAUUUGAAAUCUGSCAGUCUCGCGACUGUCCGAGUUGUAGUCUGGAGAAGCGUUUUCCGUGCCGGUCCCGUGUACAAGUCCCUUGGAACGGGGCGUCGUAGAGGGUGAGAAUCCCGUUCACGACACGGCGAGGCCGGCGCUCUGCGAUACGCUCUCGAAGAGUCGAGUUGUUUGGGAUUGCAGCUCAAAACGGGUGGUAAAUUCCAUCUAAAGCUAAAUACUGGCGAAAGACCGAUAGCGAACAAGUACCGUGAGGGAAAGAUGAAAAGCACUUUGAAAAGAGAGUCAAACAGUACGUGAAAUUGUCGAAAGGGAAACGCUUGAAGUCAGUCGCGUCUCUCGGGACUCAGUCGGGCGCGACUCGCGCGCGCUCGACGCAUUUCCCGUGGUCGGACGGGCCAGCAUCGAUUUUGACCGGUCGGAGAAAGGUACGAGGAAGGUGGCACCCCUCGCCGGGUGUGUUAUAGCCUCGUACCGCAUACGUCGGUCGGGAUCGAGGAACGCAGCACGCCCUCUCGAGAGAGAGGCCGGGGUUCUGUCCCACGG
rnacentral:rRNA from 1 species